rnacentral:tRNA from 1 species
GCGCUCGUAGCUCAACUGGAUAGAGCGACAGACUUCGGAUCUGUAGGUUGUGGGUUCGACUCCUACCUGGCGCACCA